GGUCGACUGGUGUAGUGGCUAUCACGUUCGCCUCACACGCGAAAGGUCGCGGGUUCAAUCCCCGCGUUGACCU